GACGAACGCUGGCGGCGUGCUUAACACAUGCAAGUCGAACGGAAAGGCCCUGCUUUUGUGGGGUGCUCGAGUGGCGAACGGGUGAGUAACACGUGAGUAACCUGCCCUUGACUUUGGGAUAACUUCAGGAAACUGGGGCUAAUACCGGAUAGGAGCUCCUGCUGCAUGGUGGGGGUUGGAAAGUUUCGGCGGUUGGGGAUGGACUCGCGGCUUAUCAGCUUGUUGGUGGGGUAGUGGCUUACCAAGGCUUUGACGGGUAGCCGGCCUGAGAGGGUGACCGGCCACAUUGGGACGGAGAUACGGCCCAGACUCCUACGGGAGGCAGCAGUGGGGAAUAUUGCACAAUGGGCGGAAGCCUGAUGCAGCAACGCCGCGGGCGGGAUGACGGCCUUCGGGUUGUAAACCGCUUUCGCCUGUGACGAAGCGUGAGUGACGGUAAUGGGGAAAGAAGCACCGGCUAACUACGU
rnacentral:rRNA from 1 species